rnacentral:lncRNA from 1 species
GGGUUUUCACCAUGUUAGCCAGGAUGGUCUCAAUCUCCCGACCUCAUGAUCCGCCUGCCUCGGCCUCCCAAAGUGCUGGGAUUACAGGCGUGAGUCACCACGCCGGCCGAUUUUUUUCUUAACACUCAGCACCACUGUCUGUCUGUCGGAGGACUGCCUUCACGCCGCUACAGAAGGCAGGAAGUCACAGAAUGGAUGAUAGCCCGUGACUGUUGCGUUCUGAGGUGUGAGUACUCCAGCUCCCCUGUUCCUAAUGGGGGCAACUCUGAGAUGUGACCUACACUGUUUCCAAUGCUCCCCAGUGGGAUUGAGAUAGUUACACCACCACCAACAAUGCAAGGCUUGCCUUCGAGCACUUCCUGAUGAAUUCCUUUCCCAAGAACCAAGCUCUCACAGCGAGCUUCAAUUGCAUGCACGCUUGCCUUCCUUCCCUUCCUCUUCCUGAUUCCCCAUUCUCCUGUCCACUUCUCCUAAGAGCACUUUCUAGUGAAUCACUUUCAUAAGAAUCAUCUCGGGGACUGACUGAGAGAAGCCAGGACUGGAGUCCUGGGAGGUUCUGUUCCUCCUUUCUGUUUCUUUUCCUCUUCUCAGUACUCCUCAAGGGCUGGGUCAAGGGAGAGAAGAAUGCAAGGAAACCAGCGCUGCCAUCUGUGCUAGUGUGGCAGUCGAGGAGGUCUUCACAGCAAGCAUCCGACACUGGCUUUCAUGAGGUCUAUUGGGGGUGUCCAGAGACCCCCGCAGGAUCUUUUGUGACCCAGCCGUUCACCACCAGUUCCUGCCCAGAUGAAAACUGUACACCCACCGCCUCUUACAGCCUCGCUCUGCCAUGCAGUCCUCUUGGGCAGGGUCCUUCCUAGCUGGCUCAAGCCUGACAUCUAUAGAGUCGCCUCGGCUCACGGGUUCUCUGACAUUAUGCUGCCAGACUACCAAGUGCAGCCUGAUUGACUGGUGGACGGGGCAACUCCAGCCCAGAUGUUUGUCUUCAGACUUCUCCUGUCAAGAAGCAGAGAUGAGUCUGUUUCUUCACAACUGCCACAAAACUCCUGAGGACACAGCCAUAGCCUCCACUAAAACUCUUCUUGCCCCUCUCACGUAGCAUUCCACAGUGGUCCCAGUGGUGUCUGCAUCUUAUAAGGCUACCAUCAGGCCUGGCAGGGAGAUGCUCGUGUUAUCCCCUGGCAGACAACCACUGUCUCUACAAACAGUUCCCUUGCAACUCUAUUAUCUCACUGAUAGAGGUUUAAAGAAGCAUUCCCCUUCCUGUGGAGGGAAAAAGUGUUGAAUCCCUUGCUACACAUCUAAGAAUUCCCUUGAGGCCGGGCGCGGUGGCUCACGCCUGUAAUCCCAGCACUUUGGGAGGCCGAGGCAGGUGGAUCACUUGAGGUCAGGAGUUCGAGACCAGCGUGGCCAACAUGGUGAAACCCUGUCUGUACUAAAAACACAAAAAGGAGCCAGGCAUGAUGGCGGGUGCCCGUAAUCCCAGCUACUCAGGAGGCAAAGGUAGGAGAAUCACUUGAACCCAAGAGGUGGAGGUUGCAGUGAGCCGAGAUCGCGCUACUGCACUCCAGCCUGGGUGACAGAGCAAGACUCCAUCUCAAAAAAUAAAAAAACAAAAAAGAAUUGCUUUGAAACAAUCCCCUUAAAUCUCCAUUCAUCUUUUGCGUAGCCUGGGAAGAGUGAUGGUGAUUAUGUUGCCUCUCUUAGUUAGUCCUGCCUACAUGCAUCCAGCUUUUCUCUGUUUUAAAUGGGCACUUACCAAUGAUCAUUCUCAACUUUGGGAAUCUAGCCAAAUCUCUAUAACAACAGGAAAAGUGUCAUUUAACCUCCCUAUUUCUUGUGGUCAUGUCACUUUUCUCAGUUCCUUAAUUGGGCUUGCCAAGAUGUUGUUUACCAUAUUAGUCUUUUUGGAAAGGGGUUUUUGUUAAGAGGAUAACAUGACAAGCUACAGACUUGGAGAGAAUAUUUGCAAACCACCUAUCCAACAAAGGGUUAGUACCUAGAAUAUAUAAUGAAUUAUCAAAACUUGACAGUGAAAAAACAAACAAUCUCAAUUAGAAAAUGGGCAGAAACCUGGGCACAGUGGCUCACGCCUGUAAUCCCAGCACGUUGGGAGGUCGAGGCAGGCGGAUCACCUGAAGUCAGGAGUUCGAGACCAGCCUGGCCAACAUAGCAAACCCCAUCUGUACUAAAAUACAAAAAUUAGCCGGGCGUGGUGGCGAGCACCUGUAAUCCCAGCUACUCGGGAGGCUGAGGCAGGAGAAACACUUGACCCUGGGAGGUAGAGGUUGUGGUGAGCCGAGAUCGCGCCACUGCACUCCAGCCUGGGUGACAAAGCGAGACUUUGUCUCAAAAAAAAAGAAAGAAAGAAAGAAAAUGGGCAGACGACAUGAAGAGAUGUUUUACCAAAGAGGAUAAGCAGAUGGAAAAUAAGCACAUGAACGAAUGUACAACCUCAUUAGCUGCCACAGAAACGCAAAUUAGAACCACAGUAAUGUAUCACUAUAUAUCUAUCCAAAGAGCUAAAACUUUAAAAUACUGACAACAACCAGAUACAGGUGAGGAAGUGGGCAAACUGGAUCAUUUAUACAUUGCUGGUGGGAAUAUAAAAUGGUACAACCACUCUGGAAAACAGUUUGGCAGUUUCUUUUAAAAGUAAUCAUGCACCCACUAUAUGACCCAGAAAUUGCACUCAGGCAUUUCUCCCAGAGAAAUAAAAAUGUGUGUUCACACAAAAACUUGCACAUGAAUAUUCAUAGCAGCCGUAUUUGCAACAGCCAAAGACUGGAAACAACCCAGAUGUCCUUCAAUGAGUAAAUGGCUAAACGAACUGUGGUACGUCUAUCUAUACCAUAGAAUAGCGCUCAGCAACAGAAAGAAAUGAACUGUUGACGCAUGCAACAACUUGUAAAAAUCUCGAGGGAAUUACGUUGAGUUUGAAAGUCAAUUCCAUGGCCGGGUCCAGCGGCUCAUGCCUGUAAUCCCAGCACUUUGGGAGGCCGAGGCAGGUGGAUCACGAGGUCAGGAGUUCAAGACCAGCCUGUCCAAGAUGGUGAAACCCCAUCUCUACUAAAAACACAAAAAUUAGCCAGGCGUGGUGGUGGGUGACUGUAAUCCCAGCUAUUCAGGAGGCUGAGGCAGAGAAUUGUUUGAACCCGGGAGGUGGAGGUUGCAGUGAGCCAACAUCGUGCCACUGCACUCCAGCCUGGGCGACAAGAGCAAGGCCAAUUUAUCACUUUUAGAGAGGCGAUGUGAUCAUUGCUGAACCAUCACCCAACAUUUCUAGUGGGCGGGAAAGCCCCCUCCUGCCCACUCAUGCCUGUCUAACUACCUGUAACAACCCUGGAAACCCAGCAUUCUGGGAGGCCGAGGCAGAUGGAUCGCUUGAGCACAGGAGUUUGAGACCAGGAGGCUCAAACUGGUCUUGAACCAGAAGGCCUUCUGGUCUUGAACCCAGUUUAGUGAGACCCUAUCAUUAUAAAAAAUUUAAAAAUUAGCCAGGCGUGGUGGUAUGCACCUAUAGUCCCAGUUACUUGGGAGGCUGAAGUGGGAGGAUCACUUGAGCCCAGGUGUUUGAGGCUGCAGAGAGCCAUGAUCAUGCCACUGCACUCCAGCCUGGGUGACAGAGCGAGACUUUGUCUCAAAAAAAAAAAAAAAAUAUAUAUAUAUAUAUAUGUGUGUGUGUGUGUGUGUAUACACAUAUAUAUGUAUAUGUACACAUACAAUUUAUAUAUAUAUGUAUAUAUAGCAUUUUCUAGAUUCUGUGAUGUUUCUGGUAGCUCUCUGCUUUUGAAAUUUGUGACUUUUUAAAUUUAAAUAAAUGGUAAUUUUUAUGCUUAAUUUUAUAUCCAUAAUUUUGUAAUUGUUCUUACAGAGGGCUCCCCAAAAUUGUGUACACCUCAGGCCCCAUAAAACUUGGAAUCACUUCUCUGGCUCUAGGAAAAAGUACACCAAGUACAACUAAAAUACUGAUUAUACGACUGGUUUGCACGUCUGGAAAAAUUAUAUUGUCAAGCUUUUUACAGUUCAGGAAGACUCAGCAAUAAGUUAAAAGAAUAUGAGGCAAAUUUUUUUAAUGGAAUACUGACUACUUUCAGAAGAAAUGAGAGUUGUGCAAGAAAGGGAAUGUAAUCAGAUUAUAGUAGUUGACUCAGCAGUAACCAUAUUGACACAGAUACAACUGAUACAAAUUUUAAAGUAGUAUUUAAAUAUAAAUUGUAGACUACAUUGGAAGAUUUUACCUCGUUUACAUGAUAGCGACUAAAUAAUGUCUACAACUCAUACGAAGAUGAAAUAUCAGUUUGUGUGUCUUACUUAGAACUGCAGAUGUCAGUACUAGAAGAAACAGCUAGAAUCACUGAAAGCAGUUUCUCCAGGCAGCAAGAGGAGCUAAAGGGGGCAGGUCAAGUAACCUAGAGCCCUGUAAAACUUCUAGUUUUAUAGACUUUAUACUUCUAGUUUUAUAGACUUUAUAAAAUUUCUACUUUUCUAUAAAAAUUCUAGUCCUAUAAAACUUUAGAGUGUAUUAUUACUUCCAUAAUUUAUUUUUUGAGAAAAGAUCUCGCUGUCUUACCCAGGCUGCAGUGUAGUGACACAGUCACAGCUCACUGCAGCUUCAAUUUCCUGGGCUCAAACUAUCCCCUCAUCUCAGCCUCCCAAGUAGCUGGGACUGCAGGGAUGCACCACCACAUCCAGCUGGGGUGUGUGUGUGUGUGUGUGCAUGUUGUACAGACUGGGUUUCGCCAUAUUGCCCAGGCUAGUCUCAAACUCCUGAGCUCAGGCGACCCACCACCUCAGCCUCUCAAAAUGCUAAGAUUAUAGGCAUGAGCCAUUGCACCCAGCCUAUUUUCACGGUUUUUUAAAUUUAAUCCCAAUCGUGUACAUUUUGAAGGGGCAAUCCUAGAAAAUUUUUCAACUGAAAAGUGGGAAGUCUUGACCUAUCCCAAGCUUAUGAGCAAAAAAAUUACUUUGAAACAUUCUAUGUGAAAACAAAGAAACAAAAGUGGUAACUACUUGCCCCCUACAGAGAAUGAUUACAUAAUGCAUGGUACAUCCCUACUUUGGAAUUCUCUACAGCUGCUAAAUCCAAGGAGGUAAAACCUGCCAGGUAAUGGCAUAGAUUAGACUGGUGUCCACGAGACACUGUGAAGCGGAACAGGCACUAUGUAAUGACAUAAUAUUGCAUCUACUCAUGUACACAGGAAGGGCUCUGGCAGGGGACACAGGAAAGAGUUGACUCUGGGGAGACGGAGGAGGACUGAGAGGACACUCGUGUGCGUGCGUGUGUGUGUGUCAUUUAAAACAUUUUUUUACUAAUAGAAUGUAUUACUUCUGUACUUUAAAAAUUUAAAAAUAUGGGGCCGGGCCCCGUGGCUCAUGCCUAUAAUCCCAGCACUUUGGAAGGCAGAGGCGGGCGGAUCACCCGAGGUCAGGAGUUCAAGAUCAGCCUGGCCAACAUGGCGAAACGCUGUUUCUACUAAAAAUACAAAAAUUAGCUGGGUGUGGUGGCGCAUGCCUGUAAUCCCAGCUACUCGGGAGGCUGAGGCAGAAGAAUCGCUUGAACCCGGGAGGUGGAGGUUGCAGUGAGCCAAGACCGCACCAUUGCACUCCAGCCUGGGCAACACAGCAAGACUCCAACUUAAAUAAAUAAUAUAACCGCUGAAUAGUCUUUUUAAGGUCAGUUUCAGAAUGUUCUUGGAGCGGGAAGUUUGCCCACUGUGGAGAUUGUUGGUGACACCCUGUGUUGAAGAUAUGUCUAGAUCCGCUUGGGGUCAAAAAGACAGAGCCACGGUGGUGAGAAAGUGACUUACCCAUCCUCCUCCUCGUCGUGACCAUUUUCCUUGAAGGCUGAGAGUGGAGCUGGGGUAUGCCCUGCGACCCGGUCUGGGGAGAACCCAACCGCAGAGAAAGAUGUUUCCUUUGGGAGCCCUGGUGUGUCCGGAAUUGGUGGGUUCUUGGUCUCACUGACUUCAAGAAUGAAGCCGCGGACCCUCGCGGUGAGUGUUACAGUUCUUAAAGGCGGCGUGUCUGGAGUUUGUUCCUUCUGAUGUUCAGAUGUCUUCAGAGUUUCUUCCUUCUGGUAGGUUCAUGGUCUCACUGGCUCAGGAGUGAAGCUGCGGAACUUCGUGCUCGUGCCCGUGCCAAUUAUCUGGCUGAGUGACAGCCCAGUUCCUAAGGAGGCAAGAGAAAACUCGGACUCUGCCACGGUGAAAAACAACUAAGGUUGCAGUUAUUCACCUCUUCCGAUUGAGCAUCAGAAACUGGGGCAUCCCUAAAUUCUGGAAUCCCACAAAUAGGACAAAGUCCCAUGCAUGAAGGGGCAGCCCUCAGAGGCAGGUGAGGCUGCUCCCCAAAUUCAGAGGAGUCAACGGAGUUGGAGAGAAAGUGCCUGGAGACAACACACACUAUGUGCUGCUACCUGCUGCCAGCCCUCCCUCCCAUCACCACGAGAAACAGAACAACUGAGCAGACUACAAAUUAGCAGUAUCCAGCCCGCCGUGUUAAAGACUGAGAGGAGGAAUCAAAUCAUGCCAGAUGAUCAGAGAAGACAGUCCGGGAGAAUUCAUUCCCCCUUUCCUGGGUGAACCAUAGGAAAGAAAGCACUGUGCCCAUUCACAAAAGUAAUGGAGAAAAUCAUCAUGGAACUUAUGCCCCCAAAAAGAAAGAGGAAGAUGAGGCAGAUGAAAAAUGAACUGUGAUAUCAAAAAGAGAGGUGAAAAAUAGACUUUGAAAAGAAGCCUUGUUUCGGAAUAUGAGGGGAUGUUGGAGAACAGUUUCUUUUUUAUUAUUAUUAUACUUUAAGUUUUAGGGUACAUGUGCACAACGUGCAGGUUUGUUACAUAUGUAUACAUGUGCCAUGUUGGUGUGCUGCACCCAUUAACUCGUCAUUUAACAUUAGGUAUAUCUCCUAAUGCUCUCCCUCCCCGCUCCCAAGAACAGUUUCUUUACAUGCUUCAAAAAUUUUAAAAAGAAUGACAUAAAACAUGAAAGAAGAUAUAAAAAAAAAAGAGAACAUGAUAAGGAAAGGAAAUGAAAAGUUUGAGCUACAUACUAAAAAAAAAAGCCCAGGUGUGGUGGCUCACGCCUGUAAUCCCAGCACUAUGGGAGGCCAAGGCAGGUGAAUCACCUGAGAUCGGGAAUUGGAGACCAGCCUGACCAACACGGAGAAACCUCAUCUCCACUAAAAAUACAAAAUUAGCCAGGCGUGUUGGCGCAUGCCUGUAAUCCCAGCUACUUGGGAGGCUGAGGCAGGAGAAUCGCUUGAACCUGGGAGGCGGAGGUUGUAGUGAGCCAAGAUCGUGCCAUUGCACUCCAGCCUGGUCAAAAAGAGCAAAACUCUGUCUUAAAAAAAAAAAAAAAAAAAAAAGCCAGGCGUAGUGGCUCAUGCCUGUAAUCCUAGCACUUUGGGAAGGCCAGGCGGGAGGAUCACCUGAGGUCAGGAGUUCAAGACCAGCCUGGCCAACAUGGUGAAACCUUGUCUCUACUAAAAAUAUAAAUAUUAGCCAGGCAUGGUGGCAGGCACCUGUAAUCCUAGCUACUCGGGAGACUGAGGCAGGAGAAUUGCUUGAACCGGGAGGCAGAGCUUGCAAUGAGUCGAGAUCGUGUCACUGCACUCCAGCCUGGGCGAAAGAGCAAGUCUCCAUUUCAAAAAAUAAAAAUAAACAAAAAAUUUCAGAUAAAACACUUGAGGGGCCGGGCGUGGUGGCUCACACCUGUAAUCCCAGCACUUCAGGAGGCCAAGGCGGGCGGAUCACGAGGUCAGGAGUUCAAGACCAGCCUGACCAACAUGGUGAAACCCUGUCUCUACUAAAAAAUAUAAAAGUUAGCCAGGCACGAUGGCGGGUGCCUGUAAUCUCAGCUACUCGGGAUACUAAGACAGGAGAAUUGCUUGAACCUGGGAGGCAGAGGUUGCAGUGAGCCAAGAUCGCGCCAUUGCACUCCAGCCUGGGCGACAGAGCAAGACUCCAUCUCAAAAAAAAAAAAAAUUUUUUUUUUUUUUCAGAUACAACACUUAAGGAACCUAGGAAAGGAAAGACUCAGACACAUGGGAAUAAGAGGUAUCCUGGUCUCCUCACCUUUCCUAUGGAAGUUAUACAAACUUUUAGUUUUCAAAGCCAAUAAUUUUCAGCCUAUUAUUUAAAGUUAUACAAGUAAUCACUGGAAUAACUCUAAAUAAACUACAUAGUUUCCAAAAUACCAUAAAGAAGAAAACAAAAAGAACACCUCUCACAUAGCAAUUGUAAGAAAAUUAAGAAGCAUGUAAAGCAGAAAAAAGAAAGGACUAGGGUUAAACAUAUCUAUUAGAAUGUAAAUGAGACACUCACCUAUUAAAAGAAAAGGUACUUAUUAGAUUUUUAAACAUCAAAAACAAAACCUGCCAGGUGCAGUUUUUGGAUUACAGUGGCUCAGACACCUGUAAUCCCAAUAUUUUGGGAGGCCCAGGCGGGCGAAUCGCUUGAGGCCAGGGGUUCAAGACCAGCCUGGGCAACAUGGCACAACACCAUUUCUACUAAAAAUGCAAAAAACUACCCAGGUAUGGUGGUGUGCACCUGUAGUCCCAGCUACUUGGGAGGCUGAGGUGGGAGAAUCCGUUGAGCCCGGGAGGCACAGGUUACAGUGAGCUGAGAUCAUGCCACUGCACUCCAACCUGGGCGAUAGAGCCAGAUCUUGUAUCAAAAACAAAACAAAACAAAAAACCUAUAUAGGAGAAAUACCUUAAGCUUAGCUGCCCUGUGCUGCCCCUCAGGGAAUGGUCCAGGAUGAAGCCAAGAUUAAUUUAAAUUAGCAUUUUUUUUUUUUUUUGAGUCAGAGUCUCGCACUGUCACCCGGGCUGGAGUAUAAUGGCGCAGUCUCAGCUCACCACAACCUCUGCCUCCCGGGUUCAAGUGAUUCUCCUGCCUCAGCCUCCUGAGUAGCUGGGAUUACAGGCACCCGCCACCAUGCCCGGCUAAUUUUUGUAUGUUUAGUACAGAUAGGGUUUCACCAUUUUGGCCAGGCUGGUCUCGAACUCCUGACUUCAUGAUCCGCCCACCUCGGCCUCCCAAAGUGCUGGGAUUACAGGCGUGAGCCACUGCACCCGGCCUAAAUCAGCAUUUUUAAGGGCGAGAUCCAGGAGUCGAUAUAUUUUUUUUAACUCUUGAAGAGAUUGCAAUGUACAGUCAAGACUGAGAAUCAUUAAUUUAAAACAGAGAUUCAAAAAGGUAAGAAACAAAAGGAUGGACAGAGAUACAGCAAGCAAAUGCAAGUGACAAAAAAAUCAAGGACCGUGGUAUUUAUAUAUCAGAUAAAUUCAAGGCAAAAAGCAUUAACUGGGACACACGUUGGCUUCAUAGUGACGAAAGCACCGUCCACCACGAAGUUGUAGUGGUCAUGAGCUUAUUGUGUGCCAAAUCACAGAGCACUGAGAUCUUAGGUUGAACUGCAUGAAACUGACAUUUUUAUAGGUCAAAACUGAUGAAAUGUUGGCAAGUUCAACCUGAUCAGUAAAGCAAAAUAUGUUCGUACUCACAGUAUGCUGUAAAGUACUAACAGAGCCUGAUGUAAUGCAAACAAUACAUAUAUUCUGGCCCCUGUAUCAUAUGGCUUAACUACUGUGGCAUUAAAAUACUUUGAAGUUCAGCCAGACGCGGUGGUUCACGCCUGUAAUCCCACCACUUUGGGAGGCGGAGGUGGGCGGAUCAUGAGGUCAGGAGUUCCAGACCAGCCUGGCUAAGACGGUGAAACCCCGUCUC